rnacentral:tRNA from 2 species
GUUAAUUUAGUUUAAUAAAAAUAUUGUGUUGUGGUCACAAAGAUAGGAUUAUACUAAUUAACA